rnacentral:tRNA from 1 species
UCAUGUUGCUCAGAGGCAGAGCACUUGCCUCACAUGUAUGAGGCACUGGGUUUGAUCCCCAGUACUGGGAA